UUGUGAUCCUGAGGGGUGAGUGGUUCCUCAGAAAACAUAUGAGAAUCCCACGUACCGUUUUGAAGAGGUGGCUUAAGGACAGUGGGACCAGAGUUUGCUGUAUGACACAGGAACCCAGAUGGACGGUCGUCACUCCCCCAAGUUAGUUGUAUGCCAUGGAAAGUACUGAAGACUAAUCUGUUACUAACAAAAGUUUUGGACUGAGACCUCCUAACAACUGAAAAGUAUAAGAGGGGAGAUGUGGAAAAGACGACUACGCUAAAAAUGAUCCUAAAUAGCUAGAACAGCAAGUAUGGAUUAUUGGGAAGAGAAUGAGCACUUACUCUGGUGAGGAGGAGGGAUUUCAUCUCCUGAAGGAGGAUCUCCUCAUGAAAGUGUCCCUGAAGAGGUACAGAGAAGAGAUUUCUGCAGAGGGUGGGGAGAUGAAAUCUAUGUUGUAUUUGGAACUGGAAAAAAUGUCAGAGAGGAUCAGUUCCUGACACUGAAGAAUUCCAACUCAGGCCAUGUAUCGGUAACUGGAAUAGUGUCAGUCUGCAACACCCCUUGUAUACCUCAGUAUGGAACACAAGGAGAACAACUGCAGAGGUGCCGACCAACGGACAAUACUUGCUAGAAUUCUCCAGUCUCCACUGCAUGCAGUGUAUAUGAACCCACACGGGAAUACACAUAGACUUUCUUUUUUUGCAUGC